CUUGAAUUUAAAUCACAAAAAAUAUAAAUCAAACAAGAAUUGAAAUGACAAGAAAAAUAUAAACUUACACUAGAAAAGGAAGAACUCACUACACUAGGUGCUUGAAAAGUAAAAUCCUAAGUCUAGGAAAAGAAAAGUGCAAGACGAAAAGUAGGUUUGUCUGUCUGAUGUUGUGUGUCUUCUGUCUUCGCUUGGUGAGGUUUAUAUAGGGCAUUCGCCAGCCCAUGGGUUGGCCAUUGAAUGGCCAAAUGUCAACUCUUUUAAAAAUCUUUCCUUGUGAAGCCCCCCUAAAUCCGUGGGAUUGCAUUGAUUGAAAUAUUCUGACAUGCUUGAUUCUUCCUUGCUUUGGAACAUUCAGAGUCAUUAUCGUCCUCCUUGAUUUCUUUCCUUGUGAGGCCUCUGUCACGUGCAUAUAAUCCUCCAAAAAUUCUGAGCUUGGAUCGGUGUCUUGAACUUGGACUUCCGAUUCCUCUUAUAUUGCCACCCAUAUAAUAUAUAUUAAAUUUCAAAUAUAUAUAUAUGUAAGCAUAAAAUAGGAUGAGGAAGGCUUAAACUUGGGAGCCUGGCCGCACAUGCACAUUCAUUUAUUUGUCUUUCAAACCCCCAAAGACUCCAGCCACAACUUGCAUUCAUUCAUAUAUAUAUAUAUAUAUAUAUAUAUAUAUAUAUAUAUAUAUAUAUAUAUAUAUGUAAUAAGACAAUUGGACUCCAACCCAAAAACCUGCAACCCAAUUUGCAAAGAGAUCAAAUACUCCAGCCGCAAGAAACCCUUCACAUCUCUAGCAUGAAACAAAACCCCGACUGCAACUAUUUUCAAACCAAAGAUCUCGAUCGUAGCUAUCAUUCGAAAACCCGGACGCAUCUCUUGAGAAUUGGCCGUAUCCUAUUUGAGCACCUCCCGCCGCAUUCGAGCAUAGCCCAGCCUUCCUCUCCAUCCGCACUUCGAAUGUAGUCCCACCAUUUUCUCCAGCUCACCCGGCCGCUAUAUCCCAACAAAUCCCGCCGCUCUAGACGCCAAAAAGCCGAAGGGCCCGGUCGUAGAAAUCCUUGUAGCCCCUCACGCCUCUGGUGGCGAAAAAACUGGGCACUAGCCUCGAAAUUUCGGCCACACUACUUGGGCUCCAUCCGUCAAACUCCGGCCGCAUUUCACAUCUUAGCUCUUCCGGCCGUGCCCUGGGACUCAACCCCCAAUAGUGACUUCACCAACUCCAAAUCCGGCCGCACUCUUUCAUUUCCUAGCCCGACCAAUUUCUCCAAGUUUCGACUGCCUUAUUGCAAGACCCCAGCCCAGCCGUGAUCAAUCCUCAAAGCUCGGCAGCAAUUCCAAGGUGCCCGGGUGAAUUUUCCCACCUCCAAACAGAAACACAAGUUAAAUAUGGUUUAAUUUGCUUGAAUUUUGUAUAGAGAUUGUUUUGUUAUCG
rnacentral:lncRNA from 1 species